rnacentral:hammerhead_ribozyme from 1 species
GCACUGCUGACGAGUCCCAAACAGGACGGAAAAGCUGUCCAGUGC